UUGCUUUGACUGCAUAUGCACUGUAAUUGGAAUGAUUCAGACAAGAUCAGCAUGGCCCCUGUGCAAGGAGGAAUGCAAAUUCUUGAAGUCUUCCAUGGGGGG